AGUGAACGCUGGCGGUAGGCCUAACACAUGCAAGUCGAACGGCAGCACAGUAAGAGCUUGCUCUUACGGGUGGCGAGUGGCGGACGGGUGAGGAAUACAUCGGAAUCUACUUUUUCGUGGGGGAUAACGUAGGGAAACUUACGCUAAUACCGCAUACGACCUACGGGUGAAAGCAGGGGAUCUUCGGACCUUGCGCGAUUGAAUGAGCCGAUGUCGGAUUAGCUAGUUGGCGGGGUAAAGGCCCACCAAGGCGACGAUCCGUAGCUGGUCUGAGAGGAUGAUCAGCCACACUGGAACUGAGACACGGUCCAGACUCCUACGGGAGGCAGCAGUGGGGAAUAUUGGGCAAUGGGCGAAAGCCUGAUGCAGCCAUACCGCGUGGGUGAAGAAGGUCUUCGGGUUGUAAAGCCCUUUUGUUGGGAAAGAAAAGCAGCAGGUUAAUACCCCGCUGUUCUGACGGUACCCAAAGAAUAAGCACCGGCUAACUUCGUG
rnacentral:rRNA from 1 species